UACAGAGGUCCCAAGCGUUGUUCGGAUUCACUGGGCGUAAAGGGUGCGUAGGCGGUCGGGUAAGUCUGAUGUGAAAUCUAUGGGCUCAACCCAUAGUCUGCAGGCGAAACUGUCGGGCUUGAGUAUGGGAGAGGUGAGUGGAAUUUCCGGUGUAGCGGUGAAAUGCGUAGAUAUCGGAAGGAACACCUGUGGCGAAAGCGGCUCACUGGACCAUUACUGACGCUGAUGCACGAAAGCUAGGGGAGCAAACAGG
rnacentral:rRNA from 1 species